ensembl:snRNA U6 U6 spliceosomal RNA
GUGUUCACUUCAACAGCACAUAUACUAAAAUUGGAACAAUACAGGGAAGAUUAGCAUGGCCCGUGCACAAGGAUGACAUGCAAAUUUGUGAAGCAUUCCAUAAAAAA